rnacentral:tRNA from 1 species
GCCUGGGUAGCUCAGUCGGUAGAGCGUCUGACUUCGGCUCAGGUCAUGAUCUCGUGGUCUGUGAGUUCGAGCCCCAUGUCGGGCU